rnacentral:rRNA from 1 species
AGGAUCAACGCUGGCGGCGUGCCUUACGCAUGCAAGUCGAACGGUCCCUUUCGGGGGACAGUGGCGGACGGGUGAGGAACACGUACGUGACCUAUCCCGCACAGGGGGAUACCCGCCCGAAAGGGUGGCUAAUACCGCAUACGCUCUUGGGGAUGCGUCCUUGAGAGGAAAGUUCUGGCGGUGUGGGAGGGCGUGCGGCCGAUUAGCUAGCUGGUGGGGUAACGGCCUACCAGGGCGACGAUCGGUAGCUGGUCUGAGAGGACGGCCAGCCACACGGGGACUGAGACACGGCCCCGACUCCUACGGGAGGCAGCAGCGAGGAAUCUUGGGCAAUGGGCGCAAGCCUGACCCAGCGACGCCGCGUGGAGGAUGAAGGCCCUCGGGUCGUAAACUCCUUUUGGGUGGGACGAAGAUCUGACGGUACCAUCCGAAUCAGCCCCGGCUAACUACGUGCCAGCAGCCGC